UCCAUUUGAGGGAUAAUUUGAUUGCUAGUACUAAGUAUGGUAGUUAGUGCUCCCUCCCUAUCCACUUGAGAGGGAGUCUCUCAAUGCCUCUUACGAAGAUCUAAGUGUCUGAAGUCAUCCCAACUUUUAAUCCACCAAUAGCAGAGACUACCGCAUCGGGAAAAAACAAGAAAACUAUAAGGACAUGGCCUACAAUGAUGAUGUAGACCUAUAAUUCCAAGUAAAUAACCCACAUGUAUAUUGAACAUAAAAAAAAUA